CCUACGGGGGGCUGCAGUCGAGAAUCUUGGGCAAUGCACGAAAGUGUGACCCAGCGACGCCGCGUGAAGGAUGAAGGCCCUUGGGUCGUAAACUUCUUUUACGGGGGAAACGGUACCCCGUGAAUAAGCCACGGCUAACUACGUGCCAGCAGCCGCGGUAAUACGUAGGUGGCAAGCGUUGUCCGGAUUUACUGGGCGUAAAGCGAGCGCAGGCGGAAUGUUAAGUAGGCAGUGAAAGGGCGGAGCUCAACUCCAACAUUGCUUCCUAUACUGGCUUUCUUGAGUAGCGGAGAGGAAGGGGGAACGACACGUGUAGCGGUGAAAUGCGUUGAUAUGUGUCGGAACACCCAUGGCGAAAGCACCCUUCUGGACCAACUGACGCUCAUGCUCGAAAGCCAAGGGAGCGAACAGGAUUAGAUACCCUUGUAGUC
rnacentral:rRNA from 1 species